rnacentral:snRNA from 1 species
GUGCUCACUUUGGCAGCACAUAUACUAAAAUAGGAACAAUACGGAGAAGGUUAUCAUGGCCUCUGCACAAAGAUGACACAUAAAUUUGUGAAGUAUUUCAUAUUUUU